rnacentral:misc_RNA from 1 species
GUGAAUCAUCGAAUUUUUGAACGCAAAUUGCACUCUUUGGUAUUCCGAAGAGUAUGCUUGCUUGAGGGUUGGUCUAAACAAUAUCGUUUUUUAUAUUAAAUAAAACGGGGCUUAGUGUUCUAAAGUUAUGAACUUUGUUGACUUUAAAUUUAUCUUAACGAUAUAUUUGGUUGAUUAGUUGAUAUGUAUUAUCUUACAUCGCGUGUAAGUUUGAUUAACGAUGAUUACUAAAUCGUUAUAGCUUGUGAUUUACCUAAUUUUUUGUAGAAUUAGUUUAUAGAUUACAAUGUCUUU